AGGUGAGCAGAAGGCAGGAGAUACGAAAGGAAGCCAGGCGGUGGGGUAAUCAGGAGGUCAUGUUGUGGAGCCAGAGGUCAGAGCACUUUGAGAUCUGCACAGGAAGCACAAAGCUCUGGUUACCACUGGAAGCCGUCUUGCCCCCAUAAACCAGCCUUAGGAUGCCACUGAUGCUGUAUGGCAGAAUGGAGUAACAGAGAGAAGAUUUCUUUCCAGGUGUAAUUGUCGAGUUUUGGGAGAAACUUUACUAAAUGCCAUAAGAGAAGAAAUGUCUUGUCACCCUUGGGGAAGUUUGCAGAAUAAAGAAGGGACAAUGCAGUCACCAGGUCAGCAUUAAGGGAAGGCUUGGCUGCAUCAUCUGCCACUCUGCUGCUGCUGACUCUGCCAGUGGGGACAGCACAUGCUUCCUUCUACGCUUGCCUGAGGUUCGUAACUUCAGAGCCCCACAGCAUUUCUGGAAGGAGUAAAAUGAGCUACAUGGUCCGGGAAGCUACUCCUAAGUAGAGUUCACAAUCAAAGGAAUAGAAGCUGGGGAAAACAAUAAAGCAGUCUUCUUCUUCUCAA
rnacentral:lncRNA from 1 species